GGUUAAGCGACUAAGCGUACACGGUGGAUGCCCUGGCAGUCAGAGGCGAUGAAGGACGUGCUAAUCUGCGAAAAGCGCCGGCGAGGUGAUAUGAACCUUUGACCCGGCGAUGUCCGAAUGGGGAAACCCAGUGUGAUUCGUCACACUAUCGUUAACUGAAUACAUAGGUUAACGAGGCGAACCGGGG
rnacentral:rRNA from 1 species